rnacentral:tRNA from 1 species
GCGGGUAUAGCUCAGUGGUAGAGCGCCACCUUGCCAAGGUGGAUGUCGCGUGUUCGAUCCACGUUACCCGCU